rnacentral:rRNA from 1 species
GACAGAGGGUGCAAACGUUGUUCGGAAUUACUGGGCGUAAAGCGCGUGUAGGCGGCCCUGCAAGUCGGAUGUGAAAUCCCACGGCUCAACCGUGGAAGUGCAUUCGAAACUGCAGGGCUAGAGUCCUGGAGAGGAAGGUGGAAUGCUUGGUGUAGAGGUGAAAUUCGUAGAUAUCAAGCGGAACACCGGUGGCGGAGGCGGCCUUCUGGACAGUGACUGACGCUGAGACGCGAAAGCGUGGGGAGCAAACAGG